CCCCUAGAUGUUCUGGGCCGCACGCGCGCUACACUGAACAGUUCAACAAGUCUUAACCUUGGCCGAUAGGUCUGGGUAAUCUUUGAACGCUGUUCGUGAUUGGGAUAGACCUUUGCAAUUAUGGGUCUUCAACGAGGAAUUCCUAGUAAACGCAAGUCAUCAGCUUGCAUUGAUUACAUCCCUGCCCUUUGUACACACCGCCCGUCGCACCUACCGAUUGAAUGGUCCGGUGAAAUCUCGGGACGGCGGCUUGGUCGCUUGCGUCCGACUGCUGAAACUUGAUUAAACCAUAUCAUUUAGAGGAAGGUGAANUCGUANCA
rnacentral:rRNA from 1 species